rnacentral:misc_RNA from 1 species
GAGCUCAUACCUCUUAGAAUGAGUUUCCAAGUAAAGAACUUCUCCCUUCUUCAGGCGUGAAGAUGUAAAAAGGGCCUUUUUUAGACCCUUGUCAGCAACAACACUGAUACUGUAUUUGAGCCAAGGCUCAUUGCAUAAGUUGAACUGAAUUGUCACUUCACGUACAAACCUCUGUUGUCGUAGUGCAUUCGAAGCUGCAGCUCGAGUGGUCAUAGUGCGCUCUACCGCCACCGGAGCAAGAGUAGGCUCCAAGGUUGAGGAAUGUGUUAGACAAGGUUCAAGAUCGAUUGUUCCACCUCCUUUCUUCACAACAGAGCACCGCUCAAUACGAUAGCUGCAGCCAACUGCAGCUCCCCACGCACGUGAUCGCACAUUGUUCCUCAGAGUAGAUAUGUAGCAAUUUUGUGGAGGUAGUACCCUGAUAGUAGCACGUAACUCCGUAAUAGUAGGCAAAAGAGGAGACGCAGUUGUACGACAGUAACCUGUGUGCAUAAGAACUGCGACAAGAUCCGAGUCAUUGGUGUAUAUAUCUGUUCCCCAUAGUUGGCCACCUCUCACCUGCCGAUUUGUAGCUGAUACGUGUUCAGCUGGAAUCCUAAUUUCUAGAGUAGGAUCACUUGGAGAGCUAUCAGAUGCUUCAUCUGCUUUGGAUGAUUCAUAUUCCUUCCAUAAUUUAAUCAGUUCUGGCAUACACUCACCAACUCUGUAAUUGACAGCAGAUACAUCAUGCUUCACUUGAGAUCCUUCAUUUUCAUGAGUGUGCGACCUAAAACGAGGAUCGCGAUUGGCCAUGGGGCUCCCUCUUGGCCGCGACAUUCUCUUGCGCUGCUGAACUCCAUAAUUAAAAGCUUCUCUUUCCCUUUCUCCUCCUCCUUCAGUAUCCAGGUCCCCUUCCUCUGGUUCUUUAUCAUGACACCUGACACGUUUCUCAGGCCUCUCUCCUUCCAAAUCAGUAUCUCUUUCCUUUCUCCUCUCACUUCCAUCCCUGUCAGUAUUUUUCCAGUUAUCAUGAUCUUUCUGUUUCUUCUGCUCCACUGUUGAGUUUUCCGGCUCGUUUGUUUUUCCAGGAACAUCAAUCACUUCUUUCUCACUCUGCAAAACCUCCCUCUCCACUCCAUUCCACACUUCCCUCUUUGCAUGGUCCUUUUCCCAGUCCUUUGGUCUGUCCUUAUCCUUCGAAAGAUCAUUUCUUUCCUUCUCCCACCGCUCAGAUUCCCUUUCCUCUUUAAGCAAUUCCUUGUUAUCAGAAGUGCUAUUCCCUAGUUGUAAAUUGUUCCGACAAUCAUUUCUCUCUUUAUCCCUUUCUCCCCAUUCCCGGUGCUUCCCUUCUUUCCUUUUUCUCUCUUUAUCUUUGUAUUUAUCGUCACCUUUCAAAUCCAUCUUAUUUUCAGCAACGGCUUCACGCACUUUAGCAAAAUCCCUGUUCUCAGAAUUUGAGACUUCUUUUCCUAUCUCAGCAGCACCAUGGGUUCUUGACGCAUGCCAUGGAUCCAUGUUCCCGACAGGAACAGGGAGAUCAGGAUAUCUUUUUCCCCUGGUCUGUUCUUUCGGAUCUUUCCAACUCACUCCGCUAAACCUGUCCUUAUCUGUCUUCACAUCUCCCUUGUAUUCAGGGUAAGUAUCCCUACUAUUUUUAAUGUCCUUACCAUCAUCAGCUCUGUUCUCAAAUCUAUCAUCCUUGUCAGAUUUAGUCCCUUGGUACAACUCCCUUAUUUCACUUUUGGCAUCACGAUUCUCAACCUUGACGUCCUUGUUAACUUCCUUGGGCUCCAACCUAUUUUCUGAAGCAACAGAAUGAUCAGGAUGUGAAACAACUGGACAUGAUGAGACACGGUACAUUGGAAGCACAGGAGAUCUUCUAUCUGCAUCUCGUGAAGAUUCAGUCCGUUGAAUCUUCGGCAUCCGAGCAUUCUGGCCCACAUCAAAGGAGGCAUGAUAUUCAGGUGUUCCUGAGCUCAUCACCUUGGGAAAUGCACCAGAGUCAUCAUGUGAGUAUUUUGGAGCAGAAGAGUAACUAUGGUUACUACUCCCACCAUUUCCACCAUCCUCGUGAGGUCUUUUGUUCGGAGUACCACUCAUAUUCUGGCUUUUUCAGCAUAUAAAUUAAGGAACCUAAAGAACCACAACCGGCGGCGAAGAUGCAGCAAAAGAAGGAGCGAAAAAAUUCAAUCUUUUUCUCUGUAAAUUUUUGUAAGGAACACAAAAUCCAGAGGCCAAUUUGCU